AAUGGAGCCCUAUUAUUGUUAGGGGUCGUUUGGUACACCGGAUGGGAUAAGGAUAUCCCAUGGGGCUAUAAGGGUAUCCCAUGGGACUAUUUUAUCCCUCCCUCCCCGUGGGACAAUAUAGUCUCCGGAUUAAGUAAUACCUUAUAUCAAACUUGCGAUAAAGUUAAUCCCAAACUUUAUCCCGAGAUUAUUUUUCUGAUCCCUUCUACCUAGCGACCCCUUUGUGUUAUCAUUAUCAUUAAUUGUUGUAUGCUUAAUAUAUAGAGGUUUGAUUUAUUUUUAUGAAGAUGCCUUAUAUUUGUCAAUUUUCUCGUUGUCAUAAUUCUGUGGUUGCUUAUGUUUCCCCCUUUCCUUUGUUCUUUUUCCUGAUGUGUAAUAAGUAGCUUCAUCUUGGUUCUUGUGCCAUGGAAGAGUAAUUACUUACCCGAUCGAAAUAGGAAGAAUUUACUUGUUAGUUAAUCAUUUGAGAGUGAUAAAGCGUACUCUUGUGGUUUUGGUCUUAAAUAAAAAGAAAUAUGAAUUAUUAUAUAGAGAAAAGAAUGAUAUUUAGCAUAGGUGCAGAUUAUGUUAAAUAAUAUCAUUAUGACCUGAUUUUUUGAAGCAAUAUAGACACCUAAAUACCAUUUGUAGGAAGUUCUCGUGAUCUUGUUGUGGAACUUUGAUUUCCAUCUUUUCAGUCGCUGGAAGUGUGGAACUUCAGUUUGCAUCUUUUCUCAGUUUGUCAAGUAGUGAUCAAUAUGUCAUUAUGUAGUAUAUAUUGUUCAAGUUCUUGCCAAAAGACUCUUUCAUGCUAAAGUUAAGUUUUCUGGAUAUGUGGACUGUUUCUUCUUCGGUUGCAAUAGGCUAUGUGGAUGAUCUUAGUGUUAAUUGGUUUCUUUGUUAUGGCAGAAUCGUCUGUGUUAGGGGAUGCUAAGGCUUCGGCUAUCAAGGCAGCUCUGGUAAAGGAAGAGAGAGGUAAAUAUGAAAUGAGGCAAUCUCUGAAAGAUGAAAAGGUUGAAGCAAGUAUAUCGAAGGAAAAUACUUCAAAACCUUUAGCACUGGAUUCGUUCGGUUGAACGGUAUUCUCUUCACCCGCACUAUGUAUGUAUGUAUGUAUGUAUGUUCCUGUCUGAGAUGCUAUUGAUGAACUGAGUAAUGACACUAACUUGUUAUCAGCUUGGAUGGAGACUUGCUGUUGAUUUGUUAAGAAUGAUCUCUCUCUUGUGGGUCUGAUGAGAUGUAUAGUUUUGGUUCAGAUGCUGCCUGCCGACUCCAGACUGUUUGGCAACUAUUUAAUUAUAAUAUUCACCAUCCAUAAUGCAUGUGAUUAGGGAAAGUGAUAGUCAGUCGUAUGCUGGCUGAGAUUGAUUCUACAGAGAUCAGUUCUUCUACAGAAAAUACAUUUGUGAGAGAUGUAUCCAAUUAAAUGAAGAUGAUGAAGGUGAGAGUGGAUGAAUCGGCUUGCAUUGCCACAAGAUUUUUUGAAUUGUGAAGAUUUUGAACUUGGAGGAAUUGUUCUUCUAGCACAGCUUAUCCUCCAAUUCCUUGAAUUUAGGCCACCCCAAAAAGUGUUGCCUAAAAUGUCCUAGUGUACACUCCCUAGGAGUAGGUGGGCUUAUUGGAGGAGGUAGGUUUGCACUCAUAAAUUCAUGAUUCCUUAUGAAGAAAAAUUGGACCACACUUAAGGCUGAUGCAGAACAAGACUUUUGAAAUUGGGCUUUAUGUCUGUCAUCAAACAUUACCAAAUAUCAGUAAGAGUUAACAUUCCAGACAGAGACAAGUAGGACCACACUGAGCACUGUCAUUCUCUCACUUGGUAAAAAGAAAUUUAUCUAUACAAUUGACAAAUUCAAUUUGCCUAUGUGCUUUUGAAUUUCUUUUUCUAAUUGUAUUUGGUCUUUAACAGAAAUAAGUCAAUAAUGCUAAUUGUUUUUUUUUUUUUCCGCUUGUUUUAUUCAAGCUUUAUGUUUCUAAGGCCUUACUAUCCCA
rnacentral:lncRNA from 1 species